CUGCUACCGUCGAGUGAUGGUGCACUAGCUCUGCUAGCGUGCUGAAACGGCUUUCUGCUGUCACAUAUACCUGUGAAGAACAAGCCAGGAAUCUACUUAAACGAAGGCAGCUGGAAGCUCUCAGAAACACUGGGAAACAGCAUUAUCCAGAGAUCCUCACCUUUCCAUCUGAGGUGGUAUUGAUCCUGUAGUGGUAAACACGUCCUUCGUACCUGAGCGAGAUGGACAGCUGCCCUGGGCUGCUCUCGCUUUCACGAACCAGGAAGCUGCCGUUGAUGAGGCUGCUCAACAGAUACUCUGCUGCGCUGCGGGACACUGGCCCGUGGUACCACGAAUGCUUUUCCAGGCUGUUCACCGGCGUGAUGUAGUUGCUUGGUACCCAGCCCUGCCCGUUCUUCGAACGUACCUCACUCCAUUCACCAUUCUGGUUGUAACCCAGGACUCGCAACUUCUCACCUAUGACCAGAAAGAAAAUAAGCACAGUGCAAUCUAUCAGGUCUCAUUAAGGGAUACACUCACCAUCAGCUGACUACGCCUGGGUUUAACGAUAAAAAUCUGCAGCAGUGAUCUCAUAACUACACUGCUUUAUAUAAAGUAUUUACAAAGUAAAGUUUCAGAUGGAAUACUUAGGAUACUUUUCCCUAAUUUUCUGCAGUGUGAGUGACUGAACUCAAAAAGCUUCCCGUAGUCCAGCUUCUUAGACUAGAUGGACUUUUUUUUCUUGGAGGGAUGAGGUUUGUAUCCUUCUUGAAGCCUCUAAUGGCAUGUGAUUUAACACAGUUCUACAGCAGGUCGUAUCUUGAUACACGUACUGAGCAGAAACAGAAAAUCUCUGUGCAUUUCAUAAUUCUGGAUUUUGUCGCAGCUGAAAGUGGGACAAAGCUGAAAGCUGAGUUUUGCUAUCAUCAAUAAUGCAAAGGUCCUCCUCUCUGCAGCCAGUGAUUUGGGGAGCAAAGAGCAACAACUGUUACACAAACCCGUAUCUGUACCAGGAGAACUGCCCGGCAGGUGUCUCUCCAACACAAGUGAGAGAGAGACCAUCUGCUUAUAAUCAUAGGUUUAGAGAAUAAUCUUCUCUAACUGCACUCAUUCCUAUUCCUAUCUGGAGAAGGAUUCUGUUCCCUGUUGCUAAUUUUUCAACCUAGUAGCUGCUCUGCAUUCACAGCCUCACCUUUGGUGAUGCUGAGCGUGUUGUCGCCGCUUGCUACAAAAUCGUAAAGUGCAACAAAGAGAUUGGGGUCGCUCUCGGUGGCUCCGAGCAGGUUCUCCUUGGAGCUCCAUCUGAUGGCUUCAUUCAGUGCCUGGGGCUCGACAUCGCAACCAUAGGGGCGGUGCAGGGCCUCUGAAGAAAGAACAGAAGAGGAAAUUACUUUGUGUACAGUUGUGAAUAGACCAAAACCCACUGCACAGCAGAGCUCUUUAUGGAGAGGGAACACCACACCAGCACAUCUUAGAUCGGUGUUUUUCAAUACCCACUUUGCUGACUCUUGAUCCUACAAGUUACUUCUAAGAGGCUGGAGAAGGUGAUUAACUGCCUAUAAACCAAGUAGCAAACUAUGUAUAUAUAAUUUAUAUUUAAUAUUUAUUACAUUAUAUAUAUUACUAUUUGAAAGUAUUUAAGCAUUCACAGAUAAAAAAUGGAUAAGAAAAUAAAAAGCACUUUUUAAAAUGA